AGCGAACGCUGGCGGCAGGCCUAACACAUGCAAGUCGAACGAACUCUUCGGAGUUAGUGGCGGACGGGUGAGUAACACGUGGGAACGUGCCUUUUGGUUCGGAAUAACUCAGGGAAGCUUGUGCUAAUACCGAAUGUGCCCUUCGGGGGAAAGAUUUAUCGCCAUUAGAGCGGCCUGCGUCUGAUUAGCUAGUUGGUGAGGUAACGGCUCACCAAGGCGACGAUCAGUAGCUGGUCUGAGAGGAUGACCAGCCACACUGGGACUGAGACACGGCCCAGACUCCUACGGGAGGCAGCAGUGGGGAAUCUUGCGCAAUGGGCGAAAGCCUGACGCAGCCAUGCCGCGUGAAUGAUGAAGGUCUUAGGAUUGUAAAAUUCUUUCACCGGGGACGAUAAUGACGGUACCCGGAGAAGAAGCCCCGGCUAACUUCGUG
rnacentral:rRNA from 1 species